GAGAGGUGGCCGAGUGGUUGAAGGCGGCGGUCUUGAAAACCGCUAGGCGUUCACGCGCCUCGUGGGUUCGAAUCCCACCCUCUCC
rnacentral:tRNA from 1 species